rnacentral:lncRNA from 1 species
UUUAAACAAAAUUGAAUCAGCAACUCAGAUGAAAGCUGUUUUAGGAGAGCAAAAAAGGCCAAAUUGCUUAGUUAUUGAUGAAAUAGAUGGUGCACCUGUACAAGCUAUCAAUACUCUUCUUGCAAUCAUUAAAGCUACAGAUGUAGGUAAUGUAAAGCAAAAAGGGAAGAAAAAACAAAAAAAGCAGUUGAUAUUAAAUCGACCAAUAAUAUGCAUAUGUAAUAAUCA